CGCGUUCGUUUCGCGAGCUGGUUAUGGAAGGGUCGCUCAAGGGCGGGAAGUGGGGCCUUUGUGGUCAUGGGAAAGUAUAAUUUUAGGGACUGAGGUGUAGGAUCUUCGAUGCAAGGCAUGUGUCAUGUGUGAUCUUUGUGCGGGGCGCGAUUGUCCCAAAGGAAAAAGCGUUUUCUAUUGCAGGGCCUCACGUGGCUGGAGGGGGUCUCCCUUGAUCUGAGAAUGGCU
rnacentral:lncRNA from 1 species